UACGUAGGAGGCAAGCGUUGUCCGGAGUUACUGGGCGUAAAGCGCACGCAGGCGGUCCUAUUAGUCUGGGGUGACAGUUCCCGGCUUAACCGGAAAAGGACUCUGGAAACUGUAGGACUUGAGGGCUUCAGAGGGAUGUGGAAUUUCAGGUGGAGUGGUGAAAUGCGUAGAUAUCGGGAGGAACACCUGUGGCGAAAGCGGCGCACUGGACCAUAACUGACGCUGAUGCGCGAAAGCUAGGGGAGCAAACAGG
rnacentral:rRNA from 1 species